rnacentral:lncRNA from 1 species
GCUAAUUUUGCCUUACUUUUAAAUACAUUUUCCUGAUUUUUAAAAAUUUAUUCUCCUAUUUUCAGAUUACUUUUAUUUGUGACUCUUGUGAACAGCAAAUGAUCAGACUGGAGCUUUUAAUUUCGAUUGAGUCUUUGCCUGAUGUAUAGCAAGUGCUCCCUGAAAAAGCUUGUAUUUCAAAACAACAUUUAACUUUGUGACAUCCUUGUUUGUCUUCUGUUUUGUCCGAGUUGGCCCGUAAAGCAGGAAGUCAUCAGCAAGCAGGCCAGCGGAAGCAUUCCAGAGCUGAAACCCUCUGCCCAGCCACGCCAGUCCUUCCGUCUGGCCAGCCUAACCAGUUGUGGCGUGUGGCAUAAGCAGGGUGCUUGGUACAGCCUUCUGAAAACCCUCACGAAACUGUCCAGGGAGGUUGAUUAGCCGGCAGAAGGGCUGCUGGCCCCAGGGGUCCUCCCCCAGAGACCCGGAUCUGGAAUGGCCUGGGCCCACACCUGAGGGAAGCCUGCUGGAAGAACAACUUGUCCAUUCUCAUCACUGGUCACACUUCCGAGUCCCUACAGGCUUUUGUUUUCUUCAUUAUGAACGUUUUUCUGGAGGAAUUGUGUCUUUAUUUAGAAAGAGGACUCCUGUAUUGAUAUCUAAAGAUGAAAAUAGAUACAGAAAUUCAUCUCAUUCCUAUGUCAGGAAUUGAAUUUGACCUCUGCUGAUUCAGCAGGGAAUCCAAACACUGGAUCCUGUUCUGCAGAUGGCCUUUCACUGCCCUGCCUGUGUGACACCUUCAUGGGAUGGGGCCCCUUCAUCAAGUCUUCCAGGUUAGAAAGCCUCCUCCUUCACCAUGUGGAUCAGUUACUCCCAAAUAAGUAAACCACACCAGUGCAUGCCAGCACCAGAACUCUGCUCAGUGUAGUUGAGUCUUCUUACAGACUCAGAACGUCUUCUGCAUGACCAUCAAUAGCAUCUUCCCUGGCCCAGCCCGGCUGCAUGGAGAGGCUCGGUAAGGGAAGGGUCAACCUGAAGGCCACUUGGCUAAUGCUCAGGAUGGCUGUGUUGCUCCUGCCAUGAGGGACCAUUUCUUCUGCCCUCUGUGCUAGUGGCCUCCAGAGCUCCUUCCAAAGGUAGAAGCCCACAAGAUCCAAGCCGCCCACUUCCAGAAGAAAGAAAUCCUGACAUCUAAGGCUAUAUCCCUUGCAUUGGUCUGAAGCAUACUUCUGAACAGAAGAGUGCCAGCUGGUUAGUGACUUUACAAACACAGUCACACUAGAAGGAGUCC